GCGGCGUGCCUAAUACAUGCAAGUCGAGCGGACAGAUGGGAGCUUGCUCCCUGAUGUUAGCGGCGGACGGGUGAGUAACACGUGGGUAACCUGCCUGUAAGACUGGGAUAACUCCGGGAAACCGGGGCUAAUACCGGAUGGUUGUCUGAACCGCAUGGUUCAGACAUAAAAGGUGGCUUCGGCUACCACUUACAGAUGGACCCGCGGCGCAUUAGCUAGUUGGUGAGGUAACGGCUCACCAAGGCGACGAUGCGUAGCCGACCUGAGAGGGUGAUCGGCCACACUGGGACUGAGACACGGCCCAGACUCCUACGGGAGGCAGCAGUAGGGAAUCUUCCGCAAUGGACGAAAGUCUGACGGAGCAACGCCGCGUGAGUGAUGAAGGUUUUCGGAUCGUAAAGCUCUG
rnacentral:rRNA from 2 species